UCCAUACAAACUUGGGCCUGGCGUUACA
rnacentral:piRNA from 1 species